GACGAACGCUGGCGGCGUGCUUAACACAUGCAAGUCGAGCGGAAAGGCUUCGGGGUACUCGAGCGGCGAACGGGUGAGUAACACGUGAGUAACCUGCCCUAGGCUUUGGGAUAACCCUCGGAAACGGGGGCUAAUACCGAAUAUUCAUAGACUGCGGCAUCGUGGUGYGUGGAAAGUUUUUCGGCCUGGGAUGGGCUCGCGGCCUAUCAGCUUGUUGGUGGGGUGAUGGCCUACCAAGGCGACGACGGGUAGCCGGCCUGAGAGGGCGACCGGCCACACUGGGACUGAGACACGGCCCAGACUCUACGGGAGGCAGCAGUGGGGAAUAUUGCACAAUGGGCGGAAGCCUGAUGCAGCGACGCCGCGUGAGGGAUGAAGGCCUUCGGGUUGUAAACCUCUUUCGACAGGGACGAAGCGCAAGUGACGGUACCUGGAGAAGAAGCGCCGGCCAACUACGUGCCAGCAGCCGCGGUAAGACGUAGGGCGCGAGCGUUGUCCGGAUUUAUUGGGCGUAAAGAGCUCGUAGGCGGCUUGUUGCGUCAGCUGUGAAAACCCGCAGCUCAACUGUGGGCUUGCAGCU
rnacentral:rRNA from 1 species